rnacentral:tRNA from 1 species
GAGGUUGUAGCUCAGUCUGGAUAGAGCAUCAGAUUGCGGAUCUGAAGGUCGCACGUUCAAGUCGUGUCAGCCUCA